GCAAGUCGAGCGAACAGACAAGGAGCUUGCUCCUUUGACGUUAGCGGCGGACGGGUGAGUAACACGUGGGUAACCUACCUAUAAGACUGGGAUAACUUCGGGAAACCGGAGCUAAUACCGGAUAAUAUUUCGAACCGCAUGGUUCGAUAGUGAAAGAUGGUUUUGCUAUCACUUAUAGAUGGACCCGCGCCGUAUUAGCUAGUUGGUAAGGUAACGGCUUACCAAGGCGACGAUACGUAGCCGACCUGAGAGGGUGAUCGGCCACACUGGAACUGAGACACGGUCCAGACUCCUACGGGAGGCAGCAGUAGGGAAUCUUCCGCAAUGGGCGAAAGCCUGACGGAGCAACGCCGCGUGAGUGAUGAAGGUCUUCGGAUCGUAAAACUCUGUUAUUAGGGAAGAACAUACGUGUAAGUAACUAUGCACGUCUUGACGGUACCUAAUCAGAAAGCCACGGCUAACUACGUGCCAGCAGCCGCGGUAAUACGUAGGUGGCAAGCGUUAUCCGGAAUUAUUGGGCGUAAAGCGCGCGUAGGCGGUUUUUUAAGUCUGAUGUGAAAGCCCACGGCUCAACCGUGGAGGGUCAUUGGAAACUGGAAAACUUGAGUGCAGAAGAGGAAAGUGGAAUUCCAUGUGUAGCGGUGAAAUGCGCAGAGAUAUGGAGGAACACCAGUGGCGAAGGCGACUUUCUGGUCUGUAACUGACGCUGAUGUGCGAAAGCGUGGGGAUCAAACAGGAUUAGAUACCCUGGUAGUCCACGCCGUAAACGAUGAGUGCUAAGUGUUAGGGGGGUUUCCGCCCCUUAGUGCUGCAGCUAACGCAUUAAGCACUCCGCCUGGGGAGUACGACCGCAAGGGUUGAAACUCAAAGGGAAUUUGACGGGGACCCGCACAAGCGGUGAGCAUGUGCUUAAUU
rnacentral:rRNA from 1 species